rnacentral:rRNA from 1 species
UACGUAGGGGGGCGAGCGUUGUCCGGAAUCAUUGGGCGUAAAGCGCGUGUAGGCGGCCCGGUAAGUCCGCUGUGAAAGUCCAGGGCUCAACCCUGGGAUGCCGGUGGAUACUGUCGGGCUCGAGUCCGGAAGAGGCGAGUGGAAUUCCUGGUGUAGCGGUGAAAUGCGCAGAUAUCAGGAAGAACACCCGUGGCGAAAGCGGCUCUCUGGAACGGUACUGACGCUGAGACGCGAAAGCGUGGGGGAGC